UGAUGAUAAAACUCCGGAAUCUCUGUAUUUUCUUGAUGAAUACUUUGAACCCUUAUAUCUGAUGACUGCUGUUUAUUACUC
ensembl:snoRNA small nucleolar RNA, C/D box 68